GUCGAGCGGCGGACGGGUGAGUAAUGCCUAGGAAAUUGCCCUGAUGUGGGGGAUAACCAUUGGAAACGAUGGCUAAUACCGCAUAACGCCUACGGGCCAAAGAGGGGGACCUUCGGGCCUCUCGCGUCAGGAUAUGCCUAGGUGGGAUUAGCUAGUUGGUGAGGUAAUGGCUCACCAAGGCGACGAUCCCUAGCUGGUCUGAGAGGAUGAUCAGCCACACUGGAACUGAGACACGGUCCAGACUCAUACGGGAGGCAGCAGUGGGGAAUAUUGCACAAUGGGCGCAAGCCUGAUGCAGCCAUGCCGCGUGUGUGAAGAAGGCCUUCGGGUUGUAAAGCACUUUCAGUCGUGAGGAAGGUGGUGGUGUUAAUAGCUCUAUCAUUUGACGUUAGCGACAGAAGAAGCACCGGCUAACUCCGUGCCAGCAGCCGCGGUAAUACGGAGGGUGCGAGCGUUAAUCGGAAUUACUGGGCGUAAAGCGCAUGCAGGUGGUUUGUUAAGUCAGAUGUGAAAGCCCGGGGCUCAACCUCGGAAUAGCAUUUGAAACUGGCAGACUAGAGUACUGUAGAGGGGGGUAGAAUUUCAGGUGUAGCGGUGAAAUGCGUAGAGAUCUGAAGGAAUACCGGUGGCGAAGGCGGCCCCCUGGACAGAUACUGACACUCAGAUGCGAAAGCGUGGGGAGCAAACAGGAUUAGAUACCCUGGUAGUCCACGCCGUAAACGAUGUCUACUUGGAGGUUGUGGCCUUGAGCCGUGGCUUUCGGAGCUAACGCGUUAAGUAGACCGCCUGGGGAGUACGGUCGCAAGAUUAAAACUCAAAUGAAUUGACGGGGGCCCGCACAAGCGGUGGAGCAUGUGGUUUAAUUCGAUGCAACGCGAAGAACCUUACCUACUCUUGACAUCCAGAGAACUUUCCAGAGAUGGAUUGGUGCCUUCGGGAACUCUGAGACAGGUGCUGCAUGGCUGUCGUCAGCUCGUGUUGUGAAAUGUUGGGUUAAGUCCCGCAACGAGCGCAACCCUUAUCCUUGUUUGCCAGCGAGUAAUGUCGGGAACUCCAGGGAGACUGCCGGUGAUAAACCGGAGGAAGGUGGGGACGACGUCAAGUCAUCAUGGCCCUUACGAGUAGGGCUACACACGUGCUACAAUGGCGCAUACAGAGGGCAGCAAGCUAGCGAUAGUGAGCGAAUCCCAAAAAGUGCGUCGUAGUCCGGAUUGGAGUCUGCAACUCGACUCCAUGAAGUCGGAAUCGCUAGUAAUCGUGGAUCAGAAUGCCACGGUGAAUACGUUCCCGGGCCUUGUACACACCGCCCGUCACACCAUGGGAGUGGGCUGCAAAAGAAGUAGGUAG
rnacentral:rRNA from 1 species